GGUAACGUAGCAACGGUGAGGAUGUGUGUGUGUGUGUAUGUAGUAGGCACGUGCGAAGGAAUUUGUUUGUAAAACGGUGGAAUUAUAGAUUCGUUCGGUAAUUAAAUAUUCUGUUGAGCUAAUUGUUCAGUUUAUUAGUGCAAAUCGGUGCAAAACUAUCGUUAUUGAAACGUGGCGCAACUGGACAGGGCUGCACAACACACAGACGGUGGUGACACGAUUGCGCGAUGGAAUUUUUAGCGAGAACCAAAAACCAAAGUGAAUGGAAAGGAGGUCACCCAACAGGGACACCCCCAACAGGGCCUGCAACAGGGACACCCUAGUGCCACAAAUCCACUAAACGACCACUCAACGGGUUCUAAACGGCUCAAGCGCUCAAACUAAAUGGUAUCUAAAAAGACUUCGUUUAGCAGACGGUAAACGCCUGAUGCAUUCUAAAAAUGGUGGUGGGCGCCAUCUGUUGGUGGGAUAGCUACACAGUGGAGCUUUCUUCGCUUUUGAAAGCUUUCUCCUUCCCUCUGAACGGUUGUAUGAUUUCGCAUUGAAGUUAUGUAUCGCUAGAACUAGAACGGUGAUACGAAUGUUUAAAUACUGUACUCCAAUAUGAACCAUCAGAACUAAAACAAGUAAGGCCGAAAAUACAUGGACCAGAAUUUCGCGACCAAGUAAUUCCGCCUGCUGAAAACUGUAUGAAUAUGACAGUUCGGAAAAGUUGCUGCUGACAAACUGACGUGACACUUGCGUUACAAAAGUGUCCCAAAUUGCGAAGGAAGUGUGAGGCAAGAUGUUGUGAGAAUUAUUGGACAAAACACCAAGGAAAAUCAUUUUAUAUGUUUCCAAAGCAAUGCAAAAGAUGUGAGAAGUAAAUAAAACAAUGCGCAUUGGAAUUUGCGGAAAAAAACAAAACGGAGGUUCAGCAGUUCCUCGUCUGUGUCAGUGUAGUAAGCGAUUCAUUAUAGAGAUCCCAAGUGCCACAAAUUCACUAAACGACCACUAAACGGCUUCUAAACGACUCAAGUUCUCUACCUAAACGGAAUAUAGAAAGACUUCGUUUAGCGGACGGCAAACGACUCACGCAUUCUAAAAAUAGCGAAAAAGCUGGUGGCGCUCUCUGUUGGUGGGAUACCCCAACCAGUUGAGCUUCAUCGCUUGGAGGAGAGCUUUCUCAUUUCCUUUGUACUGUUGUAUGGUUUCGCAUUGAAGUUAUGCAUCGCUAGAACUAGAACGGCGAUACGAUUGUUUAAAUACUAAACUCCAACGGAAACCUUCAGCACUGAAGCAAGUGAGAUUUGAGUAAUGGUCGUUGGUGUUGAUACCCACGUAUCUGACCACACGACCAUUCAUAUAGAUUUUUGCUCUGAAAGUUAGAAGGCUAUAUAGGUCAUGAUAAGAUGAAACUUGUCGAAACACAUUGCAAGAAAAGGAUAGCAAUAUAAUAAUCAGUUUUAAUACGCCAUCUAUUGAUCAAACCAAUGAAGCUGUGGAGCUUUCAAUUUUUUUCUAUGGAUAUUCAAUUUUCCAGUCGUUUAAGCUUAAUCUGUGGCGCUUGGGAAGGCUAUAUAGGCCAUGAUUAGGCGAUACUUGUCGAAACACAUUGCAAGAAAAGGACAGGAUACAGGGAUUACCAAUCCAAUCCAGCAUCGUCAAAGCGUUAUCAGUCACCGUAAAUACUUUUUCGGGCCACGUAAACCCUCAAUUGGGCACUGUCACUUCUAUUCGAGCCUUGUGAAGUUUGAAUCGAGCAUAGUGCAGAAUAAAUGCGACCUACUCUUGAAAGAGUCAAAUCGGUAGCUUCGGUGUG